rnacentral:rRNA from 1 species
UACGAAGGGGGGCUAGCGUUGCUCGGAAUCAUUGGGCGUAAAGGGUGCGUAGGCGGUCUUCUAAGUUUGAUGUGAAAUCCCGGGGCUCAACCCUGGAAUUGCAUUGAAUACUGGAGGACUAGAGUACCGGAGAGGAAACUGGAAUUUACGGUGUAGCAGUGAAAUGCGUAGAGAUCGUAAGGAAGACCAGUGGCGAAGGCGAGUUUCUGGACGGUAACUGACGCUGAGGCACGAAGGCCAGGGGAGCAAACGGG